AAGUAACAAGAAGAAUAUCAACGUGCAGUAAACGCUGGAAGUGAAUGACACCGGAAACCAGACACAUUCAUUUUACAAAUGGCCGCGCCCGCGCUCUUACGUAAAAAAAUAAGGUGGUGCUCUGGUGCUGUUGUCCGAAACGAAGAGUUUUCGUGAAUGAACCUGAAGAGAUGAAUCCUCCCACGUACUACAAUCCAGACAUCCCCAUGUACUCAACGCAAAGCACGUUUGAUACAGCCAACGGCAAACAAGCGGACGUCAGAGAAAAACCUCCGAAAAUUCGAACAGGAAUGUACGUGGUGAACAAAUGAUGGACACAGGUUCUCUGACCCCCCAACAUUGUCACUCACUCCACGUGUGAAGAACAAGGCCCGAGGAAAAUUUUUGUUGGAAGAAUAACUGUCAUACAACCGGCACUGUACUGCAGGAAGCUGAACAGACAGGGAAAUGAUUUUACAUGCCAUUACGAUCUAUUUAGAAUUUAUUUUCCUACAAUAUACCUUUGCACAAUGUACUUUGUAACUUUUACACAUUGAUUGAAUGAUGUGAUGUAUUAACAGUGAUUUAGUUAAAUUAAAGAGUUUCUGAAAAAAGGCCGUGGGAUGAAUAGUCUUUUCUCUGGAGGAUUGAGGUCAAGAAUCAGAGCUGAAAUGAGUCACAUAAUGUAACAUUUAUGUUUAAAUUGCAAUGUAGAAUGAUAGUGUAACCUAUAGGUGAACAGAAUCAACUGAACAGAACUAGAUGGUCAUAAGAGGGGCUCUGUGUCACUUCAGGUCAAAUUCUGCUUAAAAGCAAAGAGGGGAAAUAUAUCCUGAUGGAGAAAUCAAGAUAUGGAGUAUUUGAACAGCAAGAACACAAUGUGUUAGAGGAAGGAUUAGGCAAGUGAAAUGCUGCAGAUUAUUUUUGAGGUAAAGUGUAAUGAUGAAAUUCUUGUACAUCUAUCUUUGUGAGGACAAACAUUGACAAUGCAAUCUCUAGCUCCUUACCCCAACCUUACCCAUCACAACUAAGUGCGUAGCCUGAACCCUAAACCUACCCUGAACCUAAUUAUAACCUUAUCACCAAAAACAAAGUCUUGACCCUAAAACAGGCCUUUAAAGGGGUCUCAGAAAUUGCGGACCAGCCAAAGUCUCCUCACUUUACUCUCUUUGUCUCUCUGAUGGUUUAAAACUCAAACCGGACUCAAAAAGAUAACUGUACAAGCACACACAC